GGCUCAGGAUGAACGCUAGCUACAGGCUUAACACAUGCAAGUCGAGGGGCAGCAUUGGGAUAGCUUGCUAUUCAGAUGGCGACCGGCGCACGGGUGAGUAACGCGUAUCCAACCUUCCUGCCAGUAGGGAACAGCCCGGCGAAAGUCGGAUUAAUGCCCUAUGUUCUUCAAUGCGGACAUCUAAGUUGAAGGAAAGAUUCAUCGCUGGCAGAUGGGGAUGCGUCCGAUUAGCUUGCCGGCGGGUAACGGCCCACCGGGGCGACGAUCGGUAGGGGUUCUGAGAGGAAGGUUCCCCACACUGGUACUGAGACACGGACCAGACUCCUACGGGAGGCAGCAGUGAGGAAUAUUGGUCAAUGGGCGUAAGCCUGAACCAGCCAAGUAGCGUGCAGGAUGACGGCCCUACGGGUUGUAAACUGCUUUUAUGCGGGGAUAAAGUGCGGCACGUGUGCCGCUUUGCAGGUACCGCAUGAAUAAGGGCCGGCUAAUUCCGUGCCAGCAGCAGC
rnacentral:rRNA from 1 species